rnacentral:misc_RNA from 1 species
GAUGAAGAACGUAGCGAAAUGCGAUACGUAAUGUGAAUUGCAGAAUUCAGUGAAUCAUCGAGUCUUUGAACGCACAUGGCGCCUUCCAGUAUCCUGGGAGGCAUGCCUGUCCGAGCGUCGUUUCAACCCUCGAGCCCCCGUGGCCCGGCGUUGGGGAUCUGCCACGGCAGGCCCCUAAAACCAGUGGCGGACCCGAAGGCCCUCUCCUUUGCGCAGUAGCAUCAGCCUCGCAUUGGGAUCCCUCGGCGUCCUGCCUCUAAACCCCCCACAAGUCCGCUCCGGCGGCACCAAGGUUGACCUCGGAUCAGGUAGGAAUACCCGCUGAACUUAAGCAUAUCAAUAAGCGGAGGA